CGGACGGGUGAGUAACACGUGGAUAACCUACCUAUAAGACUGGGAUAACUUCUGGAAACCGGAGCUAAUACCGGAUAAUAUAUUGAACCGCAUGGUUCAAUAGUGAAAGACGGUUUUGCUGUCACUUAUAGAUGGAUCCGCGCCGCAUUAGCUAGUUGGUAAGGUAACGGCUUACCAAGGCAACGAUGCGUAGCCGACCUGAGAGGGUGAUCGGCCACACUGUAACUGAGACACGGUCCAG
rnacentral:rRNA from 1 species